CUAUAGGGCACGAUCUAUAGCCGUUUGGGAGACUCGUAAGGUCGUGAUAGGUAGCGUUUAGGCAAAGAUGAAAGAGAUAUAUGUGGUUUGAAUGGGUGUCGUCGGAAGCACCUAGCGGAAGAGCAAGUUCAUCCACCAACGCACGCAUUGGCUAGCUAUUUGGACAAAAAUAAUGAAAUGUGGUGCAUCAUACUGUCAUUUUUUGAAGAAGGUUAAUUCCUGAAUGCUUGACAGCUGCAAGUGACCUCCCGCCGUGCGACUCGAACCCGUUUCUUCUGGCUGCUGGGUGAAAGGAUGGAAAAAUCAAUUAAAAACUGUAGCAAGUUUAUGUAUGUAGCCUGCUGAUCUACAAGAUGGCGCAGUCUCAUCAAAUAUUUCUCACCGGCUGCAGUGCAAAGUUUUACGCAACUUGAAUACAAAAUAGGCUGUGUUCAACGUCUUUCAGCUGAACUCUACUCACAUACCAUGGCUAUCACGUAUCGUGGAGGUCGGACAACUCACCGGAUUAUACUCCGGUAAAAGUAUAUCUGGCUUGGCUUAUGGGCAAAACCGGCAUAGACUUUUUCGAUCUGAAAACGGAUAAAAUAUAAUAUCCGAUCAAAUGCAGGAUAGCCUCAGAGGAGCGCUGUCGUUGUCUGAAAAGGGUUUGUUUGUUAUCUUCUGGCAAAUUGUCAAUCUAUACAUGUGUAUUGGUCUUCAGUUGUUCAGAUCUGCAGAUUUAAAAUGUCAAAUUUUCUCUAUAAUAAUAAUAAUAAUAAUAGGUGGUCAAUUCAGCGUGAAACGAAAGCGAAGAAGGUAAAAGUUGUAUGAUCUGCUAAACGUUUUAGCACGAUUGUGGAUGACGGCGAUACUUUUAACCUAGAUAUUCAGAGAGCUGUUUCCAUAGAAGAAUAAACUUAAAAGAGUUACGUUCGGUGAGCC